UCCUACGGGAGGCAGCAGUAAGGAAUUUUCGGCAAUGGGGGCAACCCUGACCGAGCAACGCCGCGUGAGUGAUGAAGGUCUUCGGAUCGUAAAACCCUGUUGUAAAGGAAGAAUGUCAUAUAUAGGAAAUGAUAUAUGAGUGACGGUACUUUACUAGAAAGUCACGGCUUACUACGUGCCAGCAGCCGCGGUAAUA
rnacentral:rRNA from 1 species